CAGUUCUUUCACCGAGGGAACCCCGAGAUAACAGAGCAGCCCGGCAGCUCUCGCGAGAACGGCUGACGUGAAGUGGGCGUUGCCAGGGCAGCGGCUCUGCAUCCACGCCCUCUGCCUCGAAAUAGCCUCGGGGAGGGUAGGGAUCAGAGAUGGAGAGGAGGAGUUAGGGUGUGUGAAUCACGUGGGCUGUUCAAACGAGGAGAAACUGUAAGCCACGCGUUCAUGGGACUACACAGUGAGGAGGGUUGUUAUCACUGCAAAGCAACUCCUUUUUGAACAGACUGAUUCAAUGCCUUUCUCCCACCACAUUUGCUAGUUCCAAAUCUGUUAUUCUCAACAUGGUUUCACCAAUAGCAGCCACAGAGAUCUGUCUUCAGAGCCAGAUGUGGAGCAAACAGCACCAUUUUUGUUCCUGAAUUCCUAUUUUAUGUCUCCUUUUCAGCAAGCCCAGAGAGGACAGGUACUUUCCUUAUGUAAGAACUUACAUUAAAACUAGGCAAAUGAAUCUUUUUUGCAUGACUGCAACACACAGUACAGCUAGAAAUAUGUAACGUUAAACCUAUGCAAUGCUUUUAACCUUGAUAAUUACUUCUGGUUCAUUGUAAGUACUAAAUUAUUUCUACACAAGAUAUUUGCCUAGCUGUGUUUGUAUG